rnacentral:rRNA from 1 species
UAUACAUGCAGUCGAACGAACUUCCGUUAAUUGAUUAUGACGUACUUGUACUGAUUGAGAUUUUAACACGAAGUGAGUGGCGAACGGGUGAGUAACACGUGGGUAACCUGCCCAGAAGUAGGGGAUAACACCUGGAAACAGAUGCUAAUACCGUAUAACAGAGAAAACCGCAUGGUUUUCUUUUAAAAGAUGGCUCUGCUAUCACUUCUGGAUGGACCCGCGGCGUAUUAGCUAGUUGGUGAGGUAAAGGCUCACCAAGGCAGUGAUACGUAGCCGACCUGAGAGGGUAAUCGGCCACAUUGGGACUGAGACACGGCCCAGACUCCUACGGGAGGCAGCAGUAGGGAAUCUUCCACAAUGGACGCAAGUCUGAUGGAGCAACGCCGCGUGAGUGAAGAAGGGUUUCGGCUCGUAAAGCUCUGUUGUUAAAGAAGAACGUGGGUAAGAGUAACUGUUUACCCAGUGACGGUAUUUAACCAGAAAGCCACGGCUAACUACGUGCCAGCAGCCGCGGUAAUACGUAGGUGGCAAGCGUUAUCCGGAUUUAUUGGGCGUAAAGCGAGCGCAGGCGGUCUUUUAAGUCUAAUGUGAAAGCCUUCGGCUCAACCGAAGAAGUGCAUUGGAAACUGGGAGACUUGAGUGCAGAAGAGGACAGUGGAACUCCAUGUGUAGCGGUGAAAUGCGUAGAUAUAUGGAAGAACACCAGUGGCGAAGGCGGCUGUCUGGUCUGCAACUGACGCUGAGGCUCGAAAGCAUGGGUAGCGAACAGGAUUAGAUACCCUGGUAGUCCAUGCCGUAAACGAUGAUUACUAAGUGUUGGAGGGUUUCCGCCCUUCAGUGCUGCAGCUAACGCAUUAAGUAAUCCGCCUGGGGAGUACGACCGCAAGGUUGAAACUCAAAAGAAUUGACGGGGG